UGACCACCCGUUAUCGGGUCAAGGCCAUACGGACAGCCGGGUCAACUGCCGA
rnacentral:sRNA from 1 species